GAGAAAGAGAGAACGAAAAUGAACCCAUCACUAUCUCCAUUUUUAACUACUCUUGCUAUCCUAUUCUUCGCGUCUAAUCUCUGCAACGCAUUGUAUGGACCAUCGUCUCCUGUAGUCCAGCUAAACCCCUCCAACUUUAAGUCCAAGGUGAGCUGAUGAUCCCAACUUUUUCUUGGUUCUUGUUUGCGUGGUGAGAAAGCUGAGGGAGAAGAAAUUAAAGAAAACAGUAAUUCUGGAGCUUUUGUUUAUCGAAAGUGCAAGAAAAUGAUUCUGGGCAUGCUCAGUUGAGGAAAUUGAUUUUCUUCUUGUCCGGAUCACAAAAUACUGAAAAAAAUGAGUUUUGAAAGUUUACUGCUUUGAAAUUGGUCUUAGUUGGUAACUGUUCUUCUAGGUUGGUAUACUGUAGAUCUGGCAUGGUUAGUAGUUUUUUUUUAUUUUCUUUCGGGUUCUAGUUCUUCUUCUAUUCUGAAAUGUGUAAUCCUUUCCUUUCUCCUUCUCCUUUAAUCGAUAAAUGUAAUAACUUUGUUAAAUUUUUUGUUGCGCUUAUAUAUCCAGCUCCUAGUUCGGUUUUCAUUUGAAAUCGUUAAAAUUUGAAAUUGAGAAAUGUAGAGAUUUUAGUUAAAGGUUAUAUGUCAACAUUGUUAUGUCAAAUAUUAUGGCUAUCACAAUGAGAAAGGAACAUAUCAGGUAGGUUUGAGUGGGUUUGAAUUAAAAAAGGAAGAAAAUAAGUAAUUUAGAAUUCAAAUUCAAUAUCCUUUCAAUCGUGCAAUUGUUUUAUAGUAUUUGAUGUAGGUCUAAAUUUUGAGUUUUAGAUGUUUGUUUAUUUUCAUAAAAGAUUUUCAAAUCUUACCCUCCUUUUUAUCUGUAGAAAUGAUUUUUUACGUGCUGUUAUCUUUAACUAUGAAUACUGAAAUUCUUUGUAUGAAGUUAACAUGGAAAAUUGUGCAUUUUGAUUAGUUUUAGAGAAUUAAUGUAUCUAUUUUGUUCUGGGUUCUCUUAAUGCUCCCUGAGAUCUUUGAAUGUUGGCAGGUCCUGAACUCAAAUGGAGUUGUUUUGGUUGAGUUCUUUGCCCCUUGGUGUGGGCAUUGUCAAUCUCUUGCACCCACAUGGGAGAAGGCAGCUACUGUCUUGAAAGGUGUUGCAACUGUGGCAGCUCUUGAUGCUGAUGCACACAAAUCACUUGCUCAGGAAUAUGGUAUUAAGGGUUUUCCUACCAUAAAGGUGUUUGCACCUGGGAAGCCUCCAGUAGAUUAUCAAGGAAAUAGGGAUGUCAAACCUAUUGCUGAAUUUGCAUUACAGCAGAUAAAGGCACUUUUGAAGGAGCGCCUUAGUGGAAAACCGGCUGGAGGAUCUAGCGAGAAGUCUGAACCUGCAUCAUUUGAAUUGAACUCCCGUAAUUUUGAUGAGUUGGUGCUUAAAAGCAAAGAACUUUGGAUUGUGGAAUUCUUUGCACCUUGGUGUGGACAUUGUAAAAAACUAGCUCCUGAGUGGAAUAAGGCUGCUAAUAACUUGAAGGGCAAGGUGAAGUUGGGUCACGUUGACUGUGAUGCUGAGCAGUCUCUAAUGAGCAGGUUCAAUGUGCAAGGAUUUCCCACUAUCUUGGUUUUCGGUGCUGAUAAAGACUCUCCGUUUCCUUAUGAAGGUGCCAGAACUGCCUCAGCAAUUGAAUCAUUUGCUCUGGAGCAGUUGGAAACCAAUGUUGCACCUCCUGAAGUGACUGAGCUGACUGGCCCAGAUGUAAUGGAAGAGAAGUGCGGUUCAGCUGCCAUCUGUUUUGUUGCUUUCUUACCUGACAUUUUGGACUCCAAGGCAGAAGGAAGGAACAAGUAUCUUGAACAGUUGUUAUCAGUUGCUGAGAAGUUCAAAAGGAGUCCAUACAGCUAUGUUUGGGCGGCUGCAGGUAAGCAGCCAGAUCUUGAGAAGCGUGUAGGUGUUGGUGGAUAUGGGUAUCCUGCUAUGGUAGCCUGGAAUGUGAAGAAAGGAGCAUAUGCUCCACUUAAAAGUGCAUUUGAGCUUGAACAUAUUAUAGAGUUUGUCAAGGAAGCCGGUCGUGGUGGAAAGGGAAAUCUGGCUUUGGAGGGUACACCAAAAUUAGUUAAGAUUGAACCAUGGGAUGGCAAAGAUGGAGCGAUCACUGAAGAGGAUGAGUUCUCUCUGGAAGAACUAAUGGGAGAAGAUGUUGGAAAUAAAGAUGAGAUAUGACACAAGGAGCAUUAGUUGAGGAAGAGAAUGAAACCCAGGCUAUCAUAAGCAAUGUGCCCAUCUUGUUCAAAUAUUAAAUCUUCAUUGCCAUCUUGGAAUUGGGUGCUAUUUAGUCACAGGAACAGUAUUAGAUGACAAGGAAUCAGGUGGUCUCCCUCUUUGUAUUGUUAAAAAGUUACAAAUAAAUAAAUAAACAAAUGUAUACAGUUCUACAGAAAUUCAGUUCUGCUAUAAGGUGUUCUUUUCAACAGAGAAAACAGCUUUACAAAAUAUAUGAGAAAUCUGUAAAUCUAGCUCUGUUGAUUGGAUGGCAAAGCAUUGAUGUUAGAGGGAUUAAACACCAUUAACAAUUAA
rnacentral:misc_RNA from 1 species